rnacentral:rRNA from 1 species
AUCAACAGCCAUACCACCUGCAGUUCAGACUAGAUAAUCCAUCAGCAGCUAAGCAGGUUUGGGCCUGGCCAGUACCUAGAUGGAAGACCAACUAUGAAAGCUGGGUUGCUGCUGGAA